GAUGGAAAACUCGAUGGUACA
rnacentral:siRNA from 1 species